AUCACCUUGGGAUCUUGUUAAAAUGCAGAUUCUGAUUCAGAGGUCUGGGACAGGUCUUCGAACUGGUUCAUUCUGGCUCGAAACCCUCCUAAGAAUUUGCAUUUCUGACAAGUUCCCAGGCAAUGCUAA
rnacentral:pre_miRNA from 1 species